GUUUGGCUAAAUAAUACCCUACAAGCAGCAGAUCCCAUUUAAUCUUAGAAGCCAAGCAGGGUCAGUCCUGGAAAAUACUUGGGUGGGAGACCGCCAGCAAAUCCCAAGAGCUACAAGCU
rnacentral:rRNA from 1 species